rnacentral:rRNA from 1 species
AUUGAACGCUGGCGGCAUGCCUUACACAUGCAAGUCGAACGGCAGCACGGGAGCAAUCCUGGUGGCGAGUGGCGAACGGGUGAGUAAUAUAUCGGAACGUGCCCAGUCGUGGGGAUAACGUAGCGAAAGCUACGCUAAUACCGCAUACGAUCUAUGGAUGAAAGCGGGGGAUCGCAAGACCUCGCGCGAUUGGAGCGGCCGAUAUCAGAUUAGGUAGUUGGUGAGGUAAAGGCUCACCAAGCCGACGAUCUGUAGCUGGUCUGAGAGGACGACCAGCCACACUGGGACUGAGACACGGCCAGACUCCUACGGGAGGCAGCAGUGGGGAAUUUGGACAAUGGGCGCAAGCCUGAUCCAGCAAUGCCGCGUGCAGGAUGAAGGGCCUUAC